rnacentral:rRNA from 1 species
AUACGUAGGUGGCAAGCGUUAUCCGGAAUUAUUGGGCGUAAAGCGUGAGCAGGCGGUUAAUUAAGUCUGAGGUUAAAGCGUGGGGCUCAACCCCCUAAAGCCUUGGAAACUGAUUGACUAGAGUUCGGGAGAAGUGAAGGGAACUCCCUGUGUAGCGGUGAAAUGCGUAGAUAUAUGGAAGAACACCAGGGGCGAAGGCGCCUCACUAGCCCGAAACUGACGCUCAGUCACGAAAGCGUGGGUAGCAAAUAGGAUUAGAUCCCCUAGUAGUCCACGCUGUAAACGAUGACAACUAAAUAUUGCCGCGAGGCAGUGUUGAAGCUAACGCAUUAAGUUGUCCGCCUGGGGAGUACGGUCGCAAGACUGAAACUUAAAGGAAUUGACGGGG